rnacentral:rRNA from 1 species
GAUGAACGCUGGCGGCGUGCCUAAUACAUGCAAGUCGAGCGAACAGACGAGGAGCUUGCUCCUCUGACGUUAGCGGCGGACGGGUGAGUAACACGUGGAUAACCUACCUAUAAGACUGGGAUAACUUCGGGAAACCGGAGCUAAUACCGGAUAAUAUAUUGAACCGCAUGGUUCAAUAGUGAAAGACGGUUUUGCUGUCACUUAUAGAUGGAUCCGCGCCGCAUUAGCUAGUUGGUAAGGUAACGGCUUACCAAGGCGACGAUGCGUAGCCGACCUGAGAGGGGGAUCGCCACACUUGAACCUGAGCACCGGCCCAGCCUCCACCGGGAGGAAGAAGUGGGGAAUUUCCGGAAAGGGGGGAAAGCUUGACGGACCACGGCGGGGUGAGUGAGGAAGGUUUCCGGUUGGUAAACCCUUGUUAUUAGGAAAGACAAAAUGUGUAGGUAACAAUGACGGCUUGGCGGUAACUUAACAAGAAAGCACGGCUAACCUAGGG